GUGCUCGCUUUGGCAGCACAUAUACUAAAAUUGGAACGAUACAGAGAAGAUUAGCAUGGCCCCUGCGCAAAUUUUUUUUUNAAAAAAAUAAAACUAUAUU
rnacentral:snRNA from 1 species